GAGAACAGCACUACUCAUUCAGUGAGUGAAUGGGGACAGGAGAACAGCACUACUCAUUCAGUGAGUGAAUGGGGACAGGAGAACAGCACUACUCAUUCAGUGAGUGAAUGGGGACAGGAGAACAGCACUACUCAUUCAGUGAGUGAAUGGGGACAGGAGAACAGCACUACUCAUUCAGUGAGUGAAAGGGGACAGGAGAACAGCAUUGACUAUUGAAAUCAUUUAAUGCUUUUAAAAACAAAUACAAGUUACUUCACUGGAUCAUCACAUGUGAACAAGAAUAGAUUUUUUUCCACCAAUAUUUGUAAUAACACCCUCAGACAUAUUUCCCAUUCACAUGGCUGCAUACAGACAACUUCUCUCUCUUUUUAUUUCGUUGCAGUUGAUUAUUUACAGUCAAUCUAAGGAAUGCAUCGGCUCUGUGACAAUAAUAGCUCAUAUCGGCAGCAUAUUAAAACCUUGCUGUUUGGGAUGCAAAAUUCCGGUAACUUUCCCCCAAGAUUCCCAGGUUUUCCAGACAUUCCAGUUGGAAGAUUUCUGGAAUCAGGAGGGAACAAGCAGAAUGUGAACGCGACCUACUGUGCUGGAGUGGUCAGAUUCAGGUGGAUGAUGGUGGUAACACUAAUUUAUGCAUAUCAACUCAAUCUAGCCAUCAAAGGUAGGGGUGAACAUUUCCAGUAACUUCCGCCAAAUUCCCAGAAGUCCAGACUGGAGUUACCAGAAUUUUGCAAACCUAAUCAUAGUUGAUCUGUAUUAUAUAUGUUUGCAGUCAAAAUAGGUCUGUUGUUGUGGGUUGAUAGGUCUGUUAUUGUGGGGACGAUAGGUCUAUUGUUGUGGGGAUGAUAGAUCUGUUGUUGUGGGUUGAUAGGUCUGUUGUUGUGGGGGAGAUAGGUCUGUUGUUGUGGAUUGAUAGGUCUGUUGUUGUGGGGAUGAUAGGUCUGUUGUUGUGGGGACGAUAGGUCUGUUGUUGUGAGGAUGAUAGGUCUGUUGUUGUGGGUUGAUAGGUCUGUUGUUGUGGGUUGAUAGGUCUGUUGUUGUGGGGAGAUAUGUUGUUGUGGGGAUGAUAGGUCUGUUGUUGUGGGUUGAUAUGUCUGUUGUUGUGGGGACGAUAGGUCUAUUGUUGUGGGGACAAUAGGUCUGUUGUUAUGGGGAUGAUAGGUCUGUUGUGGGGAUGAUAGGUCUGUUGUUGUGGGUUGAUAGGUCUGUUGUUGUGGGUUGAUAGGUAUGUUGUUGUGGGUUGAUAGGUCUGUUGUUGUGGGGAUGAUAGGUAUGUUGUUGUGGGUUGAUAUGUCUGUUGUUGUGGGGACGAUAGGUCUGUUGUUGUGGGGGAGAUAGGUCUGUUGUUGUGGGGACGAUAUGUCUGUUGAUUUGUGGGUUGAUAGGUCUGUUGUUGUGGGGACAAUAGGUCUGUUGUUGUGGGGACAAUAGGUCUGUUGUUGUGGGUUGAUAGGUCUGUUGUUGUGGGUUGGUAGGUCUGUUGUGGGGACGAUUGGUCUGUUGUUGUGGGGAGAUUGGUAUGUUGUUGUGGGGAGAUAUGUCUGUUGUUGUGGGGACGAUUGGUCUGUUGUUGUGGGUUGAUAGGUCUGUUGUGGGGACGAUAGGUCUGUUGUUGUGGGUUGAUAGGUCUGUUGUUGUGGGGACGAUAGGUCUGUUGUUGUGGGUUGAUAGGUCUGUUGUUGUGGGUUGAUAGGUCUGUUGUUGUGGGGACGAUAGGUCUGUUGUUGUGGGUUGAUAGGUCUGUUGUUGUGGGUUGAUAGGUCUGUUGUUGUGGGUUGAUAGGUCUGUUGUUGUGGGGGAGAUAGGUCUGUUGUUUUAGGGACGAUAGGUCUGUUGUUUAUUGAACAGGCAGGAGGGCCCCUAAAUAAAACCCAUCUAUAAUCUCAACUUCAAUAUUAUAUACAUUAUUUACAAUGGAAUGUUGGGCUGAAGCUUUCAGACUUAAUGCUAUUGUAUACAAAAGAGUUGAAGCCUUCAGACUUAAUGCUAUUGUAUACAAAAGAGUUGAAGCCUUCAGACUUAAUGCUAUUGUAUACAAAAGAGUUGAAGCCUUCAGACUUAAUGCUAUUGUAUACAAAAGAGUUGAAGCCUUCAGACUUAAUGCUAUUGUAUACAAAAGUAUAUUGAGGGAAUGACAAUGAAAAACAAGAUAGAGAAUAAUUUUUACAACAACCAUAAUCUAUGGAUUCAAGGACAACACCAAUACCUAAUUCUGUCAUUCUCCCAUGUUUUUUUAAUCAUUUCAGGUCAAGUAUGGCAGUGGUUCCUAAAAGGAACAAAACAUUGAUUUGUGCUUGAAAAGAAAUAUAAUUGACUUCAGUUAUGGAAAUGCUUUGGGCACUGGGACACCGUUGUGUCCUAAGGGUGUUUGAAUUAUACCAAAUCUCUCAAUUACUGUGGGAAUCAUUCUGUUUUCAACUCUGCAGACGUUCUCCAGCCAUUUAGGUGUUUUCACGGGGAAUCAAAGUGCUGGAGGGUUGAAGUGAAGAGGAAGUAACAUCUAAUGUCUCUCCUUUCUCUGUCAUGUGAUAGGACAUUAUGGAAGCUGUUUCUGACAUCACAGAGAUACAAGCUAUAUUAGGAUCAUUCCUCCUCAACUUUAACGUCAAAGAGAACUUCUCUUCUUCAUCUACGGUAAAUCAUUCUUUAUAUGCAAUAUAUUUGAACAAAACCUCACUUCUCACAAAAGGCAUAGGCCCUAACAUACCCGAAGGAAUAAGAAAAUAAAGGAUCAUGUAUGGUCUCUUUCAUAAAACGUGUUGCAUGUGGUUUUCUUUCAGAAUCAUUGCAGCAGAAAUAAAGAACACAAGGCGAAAAUAACAAUGGUUUAACGCCGUUAUAGUUCUCAUCUUUAAAGUCUAACACAUAGUGGUGGUUCAGAAUCAGAAUCACAUUAUAGUGGUGGUUCAGAAUCAGAAUCACAUUAUAGUGGUGGUUCAGAAUCAGAAUCACAUUAUAGUGGUGGUUCAGAAUCAG
ensembl:lncRNA